AUUAUUUUUUAUGUUCCUUAGGCUGAUAUUUUGGAUGUCAAUCAAAUAUUUAAAGAUUUGGCCAUGAUGAUCCAUGAUCAAGGUGAUCUAAUUGACAGCAUAGAAGCCAAUGUGGAAAGCUCAGAGGUACAUGUAGAGAGAGCCACUGAUCAGUUACAGCGAGCUGCUUACUAUCAGAAAAAAUCUCGCAAGAAGAUCUGUAUCCUGGUGCUUGUCCUGUCCGUGAUUAUUGUCAUCUUGGUAUUUAUUAUCUGGCAAAUUUAUAAAUGAAGUGAUUGCCUCAGAGCCGCCUUCUGCUGAGCUGUUUUCAAGGGCACCUGCUUACUGGAGUCUUUCCAGAACAAACUGAUCACAAGAAGAGAGCAUACACCAGAAUGUCCUAUAAUAAUUUAGUUAGAAAAUAACUACUAACUAGUCCUUUGGAAUUAGUGACCUAUGGAGACAGUAUUUAUCAAUUUAUGCAUACAUUCUAUUGAUUUCUCAAAUUAGGAAUUAAUUUAUGUGGAUUUUGCUUUCUCUUGUAUUCUGAUUGCCCUUCAUCUCCAAGUGUUUACUAAAAAUUCCAUUCUAGAUAUUCUUGUUUUGACAGGUGACACUACAGUCUUGUAAUAUUGCCAUUUUAUGUGUAUACUAGAUUCACCUUUUUACUAGCAACUGAGGUAGAAUUACUUUCUGACAGCCAACACAUUUGUCAGAAACUAUAUAAUAAGCUGGUACUUUUUAUUAUUUAACGUUUCAAUUUGAAUUUCCGAGAAGCCUAUUCUCUAUCUGCUUUGAAAGAUUUUGGCAAUAUAUUUAACUGGAAAGUAAAAAUUGCACAUUUGAUCCCGAUUAAAAGUAUCUAUUUGAGCUGGCCAAUUGUCAAAGUACCUGUUAACGGGGUUUAAAGCUUACUUUAUUAUCUGCUAGUGUCAUCCAUGGCAGUUCAUCUGCACACACACUAAACCGUCUUGUUCACUUUUUUAAGAGAUUAAUUAACAUUAUUAUGCUCUCUGGGGUCCCUCUCCCCCUGUCUGUAUAGAAAGGGAGAAUUAGACAAAGCAUGCUUUUGGAAAGCAAAUAGGAAUUGUUUGGAAUGAUUUAAACUUUUUGUUGUUGUUCACUUGUGGUUCUACAUUCCUGGUGAAUGAUGAAUAUUGCUGUCAAAAGGCUGCCCCUUCCCCCAUAAGGGCUGCUGGGCAUUUGAUGGCAGGAAGAUUUUAAAAGCUAGACUGAAGUUGGUUUAAAAUUUAGUUCUGUGAACCUGGUGAUAAAGUAAAGAAAGGGUUCAUUUUUGUAAAUACUGCCGGUUUGGAAUAGUGAUGUUAGACUUAUCCUAAUUUAUGAACAAGAGAUUAAUCUCCAUGCAUAGUUUUAGACAAAAAAAAAGUUUCAAUAAAAGAUUGCUGUCUUGUAAUAGAAAUGUUGUCCAUUUCCCUUUUUCACACAGGUCUAGAGCAGUUAAAGGGAAUAAAAUUUCUGUAGGCUCUCACAUAAGUGUGAAUUGGGCCAACAAUUUCAGUUCAUCCUUUAAUGAAUUAGAGGACUGGGCUACCCUGGAUAUAUUUAUAUUCAUUUCUUCCACUCCCUUUAAUGUUACUUAAUCUCCUUUUUACCAAACUAAUGUGAAUAGUAGGGAAACAAGGGCCCAAAUGCCUAAGUUUCUUUGUACUCUUGCACCAUUCCACUCCUUAAUACAAAUAAACAUUUUAAAAAAGCUUUUGUAGUAAGUUUUCGUGAGUUAACAUGUGGUAGCUAUUAGGUAAAGUGCUGUCCUGAGAAAAAUUGAGACUGGCAAGAAGACUGGAGGUUAGGUGAUGAUUGGUUUGGGGGUGGAAUAAGGGCAGAUGCUGCCCUUUCCUUGACAAACAGGAUGGAGCUCCUGGGGUGUCACAGGUGGCCCAAGCAGCAGCUUCAGGGCUCGUUCCUUGGUUCUACAAUCAGCUGGACUUGGGUACAUCAUUUGUAACAUUUAAGACAAAAAAAUUCCUGAUUGUGAAAAACUAUUUCAAUUUGGGUUAAAUGAAGCUAUCAUAGUUGUGUUCUAUAAUACUGUGUAAUCCAGUGGUGGUGAUAAUAGUGGUCGUGGGUAGCCAAUCUGACCUUGGCUUAGAAUUCGAAGGGCCUGGAGUUUAUGGUAGUUGCCAAGAGGUUCUGCUAGAUGAUCUGAAUAAACCUGUUCACAGAA